rnacentral:pre_miRNA from 1 species
GAAUUGUUGUUCUCUGAGAGCGCGCCUGAGGACGUGUUAUCUGAGGAGAAGGAGUCUU